AUGCAGUCGAACGGUGAUGCCCAGCUUGCUGGGCGGAUCAGUGGCGAACGGGUGAGUAACACGUGAGUAACCUGCCCCAGACUCCGGGAUAAGCCUUGGAAACGAGGUCUAAUACUGGAUACGAGACGCCCCUGCAUGGGGAGUGUCUGGAAAGAUUUAUCGGUCUGGGAUGGACUCGCGGCCUAUCAGCUUGUUGGUGGGGUAAUGGCCUACCAAGGCGACGACGGGUAGCCGGCCUGAGAGGGCGACCGGCCACACUGGGACUGAGACACGGCCCAGACUCCUACGGGAGGCAGCAGUGGGGAAUAUUGCACAAUGGGCGAAAGCCUGAUGCAGCGACGCCGCGUGAGGGAUGAAGGCCUUCGGGUUGUAAACCUCUUUCAGCAGGGAAGAAGCGCAAGUGACGGUACCUGCAGAAGAAGCGCCGGCUAACUACGUGCCAGCAGCCGCGGUAAUACGUAGGGCGCAAGCGUUGUCCGGAAUUAUUGGGCGUAAAGAGCUCGUAGGCGGUUUGUCGCGUCUGGUGUGAAAACUCAAGGCUCAACCUUGAGCUUGCAUCGGGUACGGGCAGACUAGAGUGCGGUAGGGGUGACUGGAAUUCCUGGUGUAGCGGUGGAAUGCGCAGAUAUCASGAGGAACACCGAUGGCRAAGGCAGGUCACUGGGCCGCAACUGACGCUGAGGAGCGAAAGCAUGGG
rnacentral:rRNA from 1 species